GUCCUGAACUCAGCUCUCCCCACUCAGAGGCUCAGGCCUGACACCCGGCUGGAGCACCAAGACCCUGUCAGCCACACGGCCAGGUCCUUGGCAGGAGACCCCAGCACUUUCCAGACAGCCAUGGCAUCCCUGGGAAAUCCCUGAAUUUGAGAUGUCAGCCCUCAUGGAUUCCUGGGUUCUACUCAGAAUGAAAAUUAUCCAUGUUGAAUAGGAGUGGUGAGAAGGAACAUCUUCGCUUUGUUCCCCAUCUUAGAGGAAAAGCAUUCAAUCUUUUACCAUUUGCCUGCGUCGGGUCUUAGUUGUGGCACCCGGGAUCUUCGUUGUGGCACGCAGUAUCUUUA